GCGCGGUAAAGGCGUGACGAAGCAGAAAGGUUGCGUGUGUGCCCAUCCUUUGACGCAGAUGAGGAGUGCUGCAUGCAGCAGGGCCGUGUGUCAGUAGGAGAAGCUGCCAAGCCCUCCCCGCCCAUCACACCCUGCCAGGGCCUGUCUGUAAGAUUGAUACUUUGGAGGAUCUCUGAGCAUUUCUGAAGAACUAAAGAAUUAUUCCUCACAGCAGCCCGUAAGGUGGUGUUUGGUUCAGAAGGUGCUGUGAGGCCUCCAGAUGCCCUGAAAGCCCCCUCUGGUUCAACCUGGGGCUGGAGGAAGGCAGUCUUUAGCGGAGAGGAGAUCCAGGGAGGAGAGAACACCUGUUCCCAGCGCUGAAGCAUUCCGAUGGUUCUUUUAAGCAGUAGUGUAUCUUAUUUUCAAGGCAGUCCGAAGUGAAUGGCAAGCUAAAGUCUUGUUUUAAGAAACUGCUUAGUCUACCACUGAAGAAUAUACUCAGAUACUAUUUUCAUUUCUGUAUAGGGGUUUCCUCAAAAGCAAAAGACAAAAAUCUGGGAGCCUGGGGAAUUGGCCAGCUUAUUCACAUUCAGUACACUGAUUCUUUCUUUGAUGUAACUUAGCUAUACUAGUGAAGUUGUUGUCUAUUUUUAAAGUGGCUGUUAAAAAAAAAAAAACACACAAAAAAAAACCAAAAAAAAAAAACAAAAAAAGUUUGGGUAAACCCCUGCUAUAAAGUCAUGUAUCUUUGAAAAGUAACAUAUCUAUACUUCAUUUUCAAAUAUAUGUGUUUCAGUACUGUAAACUGUACAGAUAGCCGCUUGUAUUUUGUGUGUUUAGACACAAGGAGACAAUCAUGUCUGAGCAUCUAUGGAGAUUAAUGGUUUGUACACAACGGUGUGGUUCUGCGAGUUAAAUCCGGAGCAAUAAAUCCUAGCUUUAAAUAUUAUUUUGCUAGUUGUUUAGCAGCAGCAGCAACAGCAGCACUGUUUUACCAUGCAUCCUUCCAUAGAGACUUGAUACCAAGUUUUGGAAGAUAAAAAGAUUGUGACGCAUCUAGCAAUUACCUUCCAUCAUGGUGUUGUGAGAGGGGAAGACAUAAAAUGUAAGAUUAAUCUUUCACGCACUAUAUUAGAGUAGUGGUUAAUGCACUUGCCUUGCUUCCGAAGGAGCUUUACAUAGGGGUAUCCAUCCAAAAAUGCUGUAUGGUGUUUGACCUACUUUUCACUGAGUUCUAAGGCGAAGUGCCCAGCCUAUGUGGAUGUGCAUAAAGCUUGUUCUAGGAUGGAAAAUGAGGUGAGCAUGAGCCCUUAGUAUAAAUAAGGACUCGGCUUCAUUGCCCUCCGUGUACGGGUUCUUAUGUAAAGUUUUUGGUCAGUGGAGUAAAUGUUUUGUAAAGCUGAAUGCAGUAUUUUUGGUCCAAGAGGAGCUCUUCACGGUUGAGUUUUGACCAUUGGACUGGUUUGGGUCUCACUUGCAGUUGUAUUUAUUUGAGAACCUGAAUAUUUUUGAAGUAUAAAACUGAAUUUAAAAAUACUUCAAUAACAAAGACCUCCCUGCAUGGUCCUUGUUCCACUCUUCUCAGCUUUGCUGAACCACUGCUCCCUUAGGCCCUGAGCAGAGUGCUGUGCUGCUCUCCUUCCUGCUCUGACUGGGUGGAGGAAAUAGGUGGGAAAAAUAAGGAGGAUACUGAAACUUAGCGAUACUUAAUACUGGUUGAUCAUCACUUCUUAUUGCUCGGCUAUACCAUUCAUGAGUGAAAAGGCCAUCCCGUCAAAGUAAAUGAAUGCUGUUGUGCCGCAUACUUGAUAGAUUUAUCAUUUUAUACAAAGUAAGACUGCCAGUAGUUUCACAGAACAGGUGCUGGGCAUGGAAAGAACUGAUCAGUGGUGCACAGCCCACCCAAAUCUUCUCUCAUUUCAGCUGUUUCUUCAUGAAUGUGCUCAGUGCUCCAGCCUGUGGUCCCCAGUCACCCUCAUGAGGUGGAUCGUGUGGGAUGGUGGGGAGUGUGGCAGUGCGGGGCCUGUGUGGCUGAGGGGAUGCUGGUUUUGGCAGGGGAGGGGGCUCUUGCGAGCCAAGGUCCUCCAGGAGGAGCCUCCUGAGAUUACCCACGUGUGUCGGCUGGGCUGGGCAUGGGUGGGUCAUUGUAUCUGAAGGGGCAUGGAUGGAUGAAGGGUGGACCACAGGCCUACGUCUUUGCGUGCAUGACUUUGGAAAUGGAGUGUUACACUCAAAGUGCUUCUGUCACAGUGCCCCUCUUUUUGUUUAUAAGGGGUCAUCAGUUGGAUAAGCAUACAAUGAGCUUUACGUCUGUUCUUAUGUCAACUGUGUACGGAUUUCUCUUUGUGUUUGAGACUUUUUGGUUAGGGCCUCUGUUGUUGACCAAUUGACUAACACAAGCUCUGUAAGGUCUUCUCUACUAAAAUGCUGAUUGAUUUAUCAACUGAAGCCUUAUUUGCACAUCUGGCUGGUAAGCUUGCCUUGCUUUUUGGAAAAUUGUGAUUGUUCUUAAAGAAGUAGAGACAAGAUUAAAUUCAGGCUGCAUUAGGUGUACAAAGAAUAUUCAUAGCGAUGUACUUACUGUCUAAUACCCUAAUGUUGCAUGUCUUGAUGUGCUUUCUUUUUUUUGUUUUGUCGUUUUCUUUUAAAGAACUGAUGGAUCUGUAUAUUGUAAUUGUGGUGUUUUACAUGUCAAUUCAAAAUUGUUAAAAAACAAACAAGCAAACCUGUUAAUUACUGAAAAAGAACAAGAGUUGAUUUUUCUUUGGUUUCCCCAUGUGGCUUUCAUUUUGGAUAUUGUUCCUUUACACCAUUGCGGUUUUAGACUUGGGGAAAACAGUAUUUCUGAGAUGUGGUACGCAUAGAGAUUUUGGUUUGGGAUGUUUGAAGAACGAAAUCCCUUUGCUGGCCUUCCUCCUCCCCUGUUGUAUACAUAUUUGUAAAAUGGUUUCUUUUUUUUUUUCAAGUUCUAAUGACCUAAUUUGUGCUUUUCUCAAAGUCCAAAAAUAUUUUCCAGUAUGAAAAUCUGUAUUCCUCUAUGUCUUUCAUUCACACGGUGCAAAAAAAAAAAGUUAGAAAUUGUAAAAGAAAA